GCUGUAUUAGUUAAGAAACUGACCUGGCUUACAGAGGAAAUGAAGGUAGCAGAGACUACCACAUACAGAUAGACCUUAUCCCCUCAUCCCCAUCGGUCAGCAUGAGUCAGACCAUGAAAUGACUUGAGUUUUAAUCUACUUUUUAUACUGAAGGGAGAGGCCUCUAAUUUAAUAGCUUCAACACAGAAUCUGGGCGAGAAUUUGCACAAAGCUGGCAGAAUUACACCAGAUUUCCAGGAUCUCUCAUUAUGGACCAAUUUCAAUUUAAUGGCUUAGAGGCAGCAUGACAGAAGCAGCCUGGAGGUGGACCCUAGGGGCAGAUGGUCAACUUGUGGAAAUAGAACCAGGAUGAUUUAUGCCAACUGAGGAUCUAUCAGCCAUAGAUUUUUCUGGCUGGAGGUAAUGUGUUUAGAUUCUGUGGACUGUCAAUCCUGAUUCAGCAAAGCACUUACGCAAGAGCUUAAGUACCAUUGUGUUGCUGAAUAGAGAUGGACUUAAGGACAUACUUAAAUACUCUGAACUGAAUCCAUAAUGCAUAAAGCUGGUUGUCUGCAUAGCAAAAAUA